UACACACGUGCUACAAUGGCCGGUACAAAGGGCUGCGAUACCGCGAGGUGGAGCGAAUCCCAGAAAGCCGGUCUCAGUUCGGAUUGGGUCUGCAACUCGACCCCAUGAAGUCGGAGUCGCUAGUAAUCGCAGAUCAGCAACGCUGCGGUGAAUAACGUUCCCGGGCCGUU
rnacentral:rRNA from 1 species